rnacentral:rRNA from 1 species
AACGGCCAUACCAUGCUGAAUAUACCGGUUCUCGUUAGAUCACCGAAGUCAAGCAUCAUUGGGCGCGGUCAGUACUUGGGUGGGUGACCGCCUGGGAACACCGCGUGCCGUU